CUUCACUUGCAAUGCAGAUCAUCAUUUCUCGGACAGCUUUCUACUUACUGCUGUGGACAUGAAAGGAUCGUCCUAGGCUUGCCCAUGCUGAUGGGCUGCACCACAGCAGUACUGGAGCUGAAUUCCUGUUGGACAACAUCUUCAGGAUGCUUUGACUAGGACACCUCCAAUGUGAAGCAGUGGACAGCUAAAGAUGUUGCUGGCUGUUAUUGCUAGACA